CCUACGGGGCGCAGCAGUGAGGAAUAUUGGUCAAUGGGCGUAAGCCUGAACCAGCCAAGUCGCGUGAGGGAUGAAGGUUCUAUGGAUCGUAAACCUCUUUUAUAAGGGAAUAAAGUGUGGGACGUGUCCUGUUUUGUAUGUACCUUAUGAAUAAGGAUCGGCUAACUCCGUGCCAGCAGCCGCGGUAAUACGGAGGAUCCGAGCGUUAUCCGGAUUUAUUGGGUUUAAAGGGGGCGUAGGCGGCCUUUUAAGUCAGCGGUGAAAGUCUGUGGCUCAACCAUAGAAUUGCCGUUGAAACUGGGAGGCUUGAGUAUGUUUGAGGCAGGCGGAAUGCGUGGUGUAGCGGUGAAAUGCUUAGAGAUCACGGAGAACCCCGAUGGCGAAGGCAGCCUGCCAAGCCAUGACUGACGCUGAUGCACGAAAGCGUGGGGAUCAAACAGGAGUAGAGACCCCAGUAGUC
rnacentral:rRNA from 1 species